GCCACUUUAGUAUGAUUUACCACCUCUCUCCCACUCACAAUCACCAAUACACUACUCUAAAUGUUGAGUCUGGAUUCUGAGCACGACUAUACGAUCAGAGUUUGACUGAGGACAAGGAGUAUUCUCUGGCUCAGACAGGAAGGCCCUAAGGCAGUGCAGAGCUUUGAUCGCCAUCUGCUGAAUGCCAGUGUCUGCAUCUGUGUCACUAAGAUGUGUGUUAGCUGAAGAAGUGUCUCAACUUAGACAGAACCUUGGAAGCAACUGACCUUCCCACCACACUAUCACUGUCAAAGCAGUUUGAAGUUUCGUCACUGUGGAACUCCUUGUCACCAACUUAAACUGCCGAUUAGUUGAUCCAUACAAAGAUGUGGGGCAAAGUACAGGCACCGCUAGCUCAGUUGAGUUUGGAAGUCCAGUCAGCUGCUUAAGAGCCAACUGGCUACCUUACUGUGGACCUUGAUUCAG